UUUGUACUCCCUCCGUCCCAAAAUUCUUGUCUUAAAUUUGUCUAAAUACGGAUGUAUCUAGUUACAUUUUAGUGUUAGAUACAUCCAUAUCUAAACAAAUGUAAGACAAGAAUUUUGGGACGGAGGGAAUACUAC
rfam:Triticum aestivum genome assembly, contig: Triticum_aestivum_CS42_TGACv1_scaffold_501590_6BL